GCCGGGCAUGGUACUGCAUGCCUGUAGUCCCAGCUACCUGGGAGACUAAAGCAGGAAAAUUGCUUGAGUCCAGAAGUUUGAGGCCACAGUGAACUAUGAACAUGCCACUGCACUCUAGCCUGGGCAAUAGGCAAUAGAGUGAGACCCUAUCUCAAAAAAAAAAAAAAAAAGUUCACCAUCAAUAUGUUGACCUCCCAGGAGCAGGAGACCACUAGGUUGCCUAAGGAGAGGUGAAUCAGCCCAGGUCAGAAAAAGAGCAGGCCAAAAAUCCCAUGCUGAUGUGUAGUGGGCUAACACUUGUGAAGCCACUGUGCUCUACCCUGGGUAAUAUAACAAGACCUCAUUUCU
rnacentral:SRP_RNA from 1 species